rnacentral:rRNA from 1 species
GAUGAACGCUGGCGGCGUGCCUAAUACAUGCAAGUCGAGCGAACGGACGAGAAGCUUGCUUCUCUGAUGUUAGCGGCGGACGGGAGAGUAACACGUGGAUAACCUACCUAUAAGACUGGGAUAACUUCGGGAAACCGUAGCUAAUACCGGAUCAUCUUUUGAACCGCAUGGUUCAAAAGUGAAAGACGGUCUUGCUGUCACUCAUAGAUGCAUCCGCGCUGCAUUAGCUAGUUGGUAAGGUAACGGCUUACCAAGGCAACGAUGCAUAGUCGACCUGAGAGAGUGGUAGGCGACACUGGAAGUGAGACACGGACCAGGCGCCUACGGGAGGCAGCAGUAGGGAAUCGUACGCAGUAGGCGAGAGCAUGGCGGAGCGACGGCGCGUGAGUGGUGGAGAUGUUCGGAUCGUAAAACUCUGUUAUUAGGGAAGAACAUAUGUGUAAGGAACUGUGCAGAUAGUGACGGUACCUAAUCAGAAAGCAACGGCUAACUACGUG